GCCCUUGAAAAAAUCAAAGGUGUAACCUGCCCAAUGAUUUUAAAUUUCAUAAGAAUAAUCUUUUAUAAUAAAAUUUAAAGGACGCAGUAACCUGACUGUGGUAAUGUAGCAUAAUCAUUCGCCAUUUAAUUGAUGGAUAGUAUGAAUGGUUGAACGAAUUCUUCACUGUCUUAAAAAGAGAAAUCAUGAAAUUAAAAUAAUAGUUAAGAUGCUAUUUACUAUUGUAAGACGAAAAGACCCUAUAGAGCUUAACUACAAAUUUUUUAAUAAAAAGAAAUUUUUAAAAUUCUAAAACAAAAAGUUGGGUAGUUUAGUUGGGGCGACUAUCUUCUAAAAUUAACGAAGACAAGCAACAUUAAUAAUUAAUUUAUUGUAUAAUCCAUAAAUUUAACAAUUACAAAAGUAGGCUAUAAUGACCCGUUAUAAUCUAAUAAUAGAAAUAACGAUCAAUAAAUAAAAGCUACCUUAGGGAUAACAGGAUAAUUUUGUUCUAGAGAUCUUAUCGAAAACAAAGUUUGUCACCUCUAUGUUGAAUUAAGAUAUCCUGAUAGUGCAGAAGCUAUCAAAGGUAGGUCUGUUCGACCUUUAAAAUCUU
rnacentral:rRNA from 1 species